rnacentral:lncRNA from 1 species
AGGGAAAUUGGUCUAAAGUGAGAUACAUACUGAAAAAAAAGAAACUUAAAGAUGGAUAUCAUUUAGAGACCAUCAUCUAUAAAUCAAGGGUUCCAAACAUAAAGUAUUUUGUUAUAUGUUGAUCUAGACAAACUCUUGAAGGGUGUAAGUAACAAUAGGCAAUUCCUAGACAAGCUUAUUAACAAAGGUAAACUGUUGUACUUUCAAUACAUAUAAUUUAAACAUACUGCUAUCAAACUAAGAGUAGAUAACUGAUUAGAUCCUACACAGCUAUACCUCAUCUUUCAUGCUUGAUAUGCAAUAUGUAUAUCCAGCAAUCAUAUUUGGUUAUAGUGCAACAGAUUAGCUUUGUCAAUCGUACAUGGUUUAGUCAAACUCAGAUUUUCAAACCCAUAAGUUACAAACUUGCAAUAUCUAAUACUUUUCUGACCAGGUCUGCAUACGCACCAUCUUAAAUUAAUCAUUUGCCUUAUGCAUUUUGAAGUUAAAACCAUGUUCGUAUUUAAGAAUAUAAUAAAAAUAGGAAUUUUAUUCUCACCUGCACAUCUUUUGCCCAUGCUCGACGUGUUAGUUCACCUUGAGUCAGCAGUUCUGCAAACUGUGCACUAUCAUUCGCAUCAUAAAUGGAACCAGGCCUCAAACCAUCACCAAUUGAUAAUGCCACAUCAUACUGAUUGCAUAUGUCAAGAAUGUCAUCCCAAUGUUCAUAUGCAAAGUUCUCCUUGUGAUAAGUUAAGCACCAUUUUGCAUGAAUUGAGCCACCACGUGAAACUAUGCCCGUCAUUCUCUUUGCCGUAAGAGGAAUGUAACGAAGCAGGACACCAGCAUGGAUUGUGAAGUAAUCAACGCCCUGCUCGGCUUGUUCAAUCAAGGUAUCCCUAAAGAUUUCCCAGCUCAGAUUUUCAGCAAU